CCUACGGGAGGCUGCAGUGAGGAAUAUUGGUCAAUGGGCAAGAGCCUGAACCAGCCAAGUCGCGUGAGGGAAGACGGUCCUAUGGAUUGUAAACCUCUUUUGCCGGGGAGCAAAAAGCGGUACGUGUACCGCAUCGAGAGUACCCGGAGAAAAAGCAUCGGCUAACUCCGUGCCAGCAGCCGCGGUAAUACGGAGGAUGCGAGCGUUAUCCGGAUUUAUUGGGUUUAAAGGGUGCGCAGGCGGCGAGUUAAGUCAGCGGUAAAAUUUCGGGGCUCAACCCCGACGAGCCGUUGAAACUGGCGUGCUAGAGUGGGCGAGAAGUAUGCGGAAUGCGUGGUGUAGCGGUGAAAUGCAUAGAUAUCACGCAGAACUCCGAUUGCGAAGGCAGCAUACCGGCGCCCAACUGACGCUCAGGCACGAAAGCGUGGGUAUCGAACAGGAUUAGAUACCCCUGUAGUC
rnacentral:rRNA from 1 species